UUACAGGCUUAGGUUUUGGUUUGCAUACAUAGUAGAUGAAGCAGUUUUUUCAUACUUUAAACAAACAAGUAAUAAUUCCGACCAAAAUGAAGGUAGUGAUUUAAGUGCUGAACAGAGAAAAUUCAGUAAAAUUCUGCUCUCAGAGGCCUCAUGGACUAGUUGUGUCGAUAGGCAAUUUCAACAUGAGAUCAUUGGAGAGGAAUAUAUCAUGUUCACUGGAAGAAGGCAAAAGAAUGUAACGACUGGAGGAAGCUUAGCAGGCAUUCAACGUUGUAUAAACUGAUUCUCUAAGCUUUUUGGAGGAGGGUUUCUGAAUGCACGGCAUUGCUUCAACAAAGGUCAACACAUGAGGACCACAUCGGUGGUAUACCUUGUCCUCCAGAUUCCAAUUGGGUUUUGCAAAUGGCGGAAAGGAGAAGAAUGAGAAUCACAACUGGCGGUGCCUACAAGGUACAUCCCAGCUUGCUGGAAAAUUUUUUUUUCACAAGACCAGAUGAGGAACUGGGACCCAGGGUGAUGAGGAGACUUUCCCAGUCAGCAUUACAAAUCCAAGACAAGAAGGCUGGUCUCCUGUCUUCUCAUCUGGUGAGCUGUCCCAUCACUCCGCUGCCUUCAGGGCUAGCCCCUCUCUCAAGCCACUCUCCUCUCCAUUCUUUCCCAAAGCCAUAGAGGGAGAUCUAUCUUCUGCGUGUGGAGGGAAGAGAGUGUGAGGGGAAGUGUUCCUCGUGGGAGCUAUGGUGGCUGUGGGAAAGUGAACAAGGCUCUAAAGGAGAAGCUGUUUCCUUGCUGUUUUCAGCUUUGAGAGGCUGCCUGCAUUCUUCCGCCGUGACUCCUCCUUCCAUCUUGAAACCCAGCAGCAUAGCAUCUACAAAUCUCUCUCACCUCUGAUUCCAAGGGAUAAGGAUAUCACCUACCUUGUUGGGUUGCUGAGAUAACUGGAUGAGUUAACGUACAACAGUGCCUGGAAUGUAGUGAGCACGGAAUAACAGAGGAGAUUUUUACCCUCCUAUUGCAAGAAGUUUAAUCUUCAUACAAGGUGAUGGGUUGAUACAUAAAUUGAGAGUGAAGUCAAGAUCUCCUCACUUCCUGAGAGGUAUUAAGUUUCUGGCUAGACUUUGACUGGAGCUGUGUCUACCACAGACCACGCCUCCAAAUGUUGCUGCUGACCAAGUCCCCAAAUGAAAAGGAAACCUCAAGGCAAGAACCAUUCAUAUAACAAUUCAUUCAGCCAUUAUCUGGUGAGCAUCCAUCAUGUGCCAGGUGAUAUAGUAAACACCAGAACUACAGGGAAGACCAGGUGCAGUCCCCACCUGCAAAGAUCUGAAGAUCAAGUGGAGAAGACGAGAAGUAAGUAAGUAACCGAUAACAUUGCAGAUCAAUAGAUGCCCUGGCAGGAAUAGUCACAGUGGCAGAAAGGAGGGGAAACUGAUAUGAUCUAGGGAGGCCUGGAAAGGCCUUCUGGAGAAAGCAACAUCUAAGCACAAACCCUAUGAUUUCAGGUAAGAAUUGUGAAGCAAAGCCCUUUGUUAUGGACUGCAUGUUUGUGUCCCCUCCAAACUUCAUAAAAUGAACUCAUGGAAUCCUUAUCCUCAAUGUGGUAGUGUUAGGAGGUGGGUCCUUUGGGAGGUAAUUAGGUCAUAAGGGUGUAGCCCACAAGAACAGGAUCAGUGCCCUUAUAAGAAGAGAUAUGAGACCUUGUUUCAUUGCUGUCUCUUUCUCAGUGCUGUGAGGGCACAGCAAGAAAACAGCCCUCUGUAAACCAGAAAGAGAGCUUGCAAAGAACCCAACCACGCUGCACCCUGGUCAUGAGACUUCCAGCCUUCAUAACUGAGAGAGAAAUAGUCAUUGUUCAAGCCCCUCAGUCUAUGGUAUUCUGUUAUCACAGCCCAAACUCAGACACUAUUCCACAUACAGGUAUGAGCAGGUGUAAAGACACAGAGGUGAGAAAAGGGAAAAGGAAAAGAUAAGCCACAGGCUGAGGGAGAAUAUUUGCAAAACAUCCACUUUAUAAAUGAUUUGUAAAUAAGGGACAUUAGGUAAAGAGUAAGAAAACUUGGAUGAUGUAUGAACUUUAGUUAAAUCAUGUGUCAAUAUUGGUUCAUUGAUUGUAACAAACGUACCUUACCAAUGUACGACGUUAACAUAGAGGAAAUGGUAUCAGAUAUAUAUGGGAACUCUCUGUAGCCAUAUUAGCAAUUUCUGCACAUCUAUAACUAUUCUAGGGGCCCACCCCGUGGCUGAGUGGUUAAGUUCAUGUGCUCCGCUUCUGCGGCCCAGGGUUUCACUGGUUCGGAUCCUGGGUGUGGACAUGGCACUGCUCAUCAGGCCAUGCUGAGGCGGCGUCCCACGUAGCACAACCAGAAGGACUUACAACUAAAAUAUACAACUAUGUGCUGGGGGGCUUUGGGGAGAAGAAGAAGAAGAAAAAAAAAAGAAGAUUAGCAACAGAUGUUAGCUCAGCUGCCAAUCUUUAAAACUGUUCUAAAAAAUGAAGUUAUUUUUAAAAAAACAAAUGAAUAUAUAUACAUAUAUAUAUUUGUGUGUAUAUAUAUAUAUAUGUAUAACAAAUGAAUAUAUAUACAUAUAUAUAUUUGUGUAUAUAUAUAUGUGUAUAUAUAUAUAAAAUUUUAUCUCGAUUUCACACAUACACAAAAAAAUAAACUUUAGGUGGAUUAAAGACCCAAAUGUGAAAAGUAUACUUUUAAAACUUUUGUAAGAAAGUAUAGGAUAAUUCCUAUAUGAAGUUGGAAGACAAAAGGAUUUUCUGAACAAGACGUAAAAAGUACAAAUCAUGAAAGAAAAUACUGAUAAACUUGACUACAUCAAAAUUUAAAAUAUUUGAAUGAGAAAUCACCAUAAACAAAUGUUAACAAAAGCCAAACACUGAGAAACAAUAUUUGAAACUUAUAAAAUGAUAGUAAUCCUUUGAUUAGUAUUCAAAAUAUUUAAAGAGUGCCCUUAAACCCAUUAGAGAAGAACAAACAUGUUCACUUUUUCAAUAAAUUAGGUUAAAUUAUUUGCUUAAUGAAUAAGAGAUUAUGAAGUCCCUAACAUUAUUCUCCUUAGGAAAGUCAUAAUUAAAUUCAGUCUUUUGUUUUAACUAAAAGAAUUCUGUUAUGAUCCUCAUUCUAUAAGGAACUCUGUUUUUCUUUUAAAUAGUUAUAUAAAUUUUUUUAAAAAAGAACAAACAAAUCAACAGAAAACAGCAAAGAAUAUUGCAGUGGUUAAUUUUAUGUCUUAUCUUAGCUAGAUUCUAGUUCCCAGUUGUUUGGUUAAACACCAGUCUCAAUGUUGCCGUGAAGGUAUUUUUUAGAUGUGAUUAGGGUUUAAAUCAGUAGACUUUGAGUGCAGAUUACCCUCCAUUACAUGAGUGGGCCUUGUCCAAUCAACUGAAGGUUUAAGAGCAAAGGCUGAGUUUUCUGAGGAAGAAGGAAUUCUGCCUCCAGAUUGCAACGUAGAAAUUCUGCCUGAGUUUCUAGCCUUUGAACUCAAGAUUGCAGUCUCAAGCUAUCUGAGUCUUCAGCCUGCCAGCUUCCCCUAUGGGUUUCAGAUUAGCCAAUUCCCACACACGAACCAAUUCCUUAAAAUCUCUCUCCUUCUCUCCCUCUCUCUCUCUCUCUCUGUAUAUAUAUGAAUAUACUAUAUUUCUACCAAGACAGCAAACAAUUUGGUCAAGCUGGAAAUGUACAUGUUUAUAAUCAUACAUCCCACAUUUAGGGAUAUAAUCUAGAGAAAUUCUCAUUAUCUACCAAAGGAGAUACAGGGAAAAUUGUUCACUGUAGCAUCAUUUGUACUAGCAAAAAAGAAAAGAAAAACAACUUAAAAUUCCAUCAAAAGAGAAACAUAUACAUUGAGGCUUUUUAAAUUAAAUACAGUUGCUAUUACAAUGGGAACAUGAGAACUACACAUAUUGGCAGAAAUGUAAAGAUAAAAGAAAAAUACAAGUGGUAUGGUGUAAAAUGGUGUGUACGGUUUGAUAUUGUAUGUGCAUAUUUUAAUACAUAGACUAUCAAAUGCUGUUUAUGAAUACAUGCAUGAACAAUAAAUAUUUUUGAAAACAUAAAUUGGAAGAAGGAGCAGCAACUGCAUGGCUUCUCAUCUCUGAUUAAGGAGGGAGGAAGGGGAAAGGAAAUGAAGAGAGAUACUAAAGGGGAUUUUGACUGAAUUUAUAUUGUUUAUCAAAGUCUGAAGCAUGUGCAAAAAUGUUAAGAUUUGUUAAUAACAAGAUGAGAAGUGCAUGGAUGUUUGUUGCAUUACACCAUAAUUUUCUAUACGUUUGAAGUUUUUAUAGUCAAAAAAUGAGUAAUUUUACUAAUCCAAGUGAGAGAGGAAGGAGGCGUAAGGGUAACGCAGUGUUAAUCAAGAAAAGUGGACAAGCAUGGCCAGCCAAUCAGUUACCUUAACACAAGUAAGACAGAGGGAGCAGUGAAAGCAUGUGAAGGGUGUGUCCUGCAUUUCUGGCUUCUGUGAUUGUGUAGGGGUAGGUAUCAGUCAUGGAGAGAGGAUUGGAGGAGGUGGAAUGAAUUUGGAUGGAGAGAGAAUCUUCUAUUGUACUGGUCAUAAUGCGAGGCACAUCAUGAACAGUAAAUGUUUUCUCGACUGAUUUGAAAGGAAAUACUUGGGGAGUUAGCACAAAGACAUUCUAUUUCAAAGACUGCAUUCUCUUUCUUUCUAGGUAUUUUGGGAAAUUGGGUCUAUGUGCUCAUCAAAGGCCAAGUCAACUAGGUAAAUGAGGAUGGAGAAACAUUCUCACAUAAUCUAAUUACAGAUAUUAGACAAAGGAUUCCAAGUGAAUCUUACUCUGAACUUUAAAAACACCCUGGAGAAAACAGCUAUUACAUUUCAAGUGGCAGAAUAUGGCUCCCCUUUAAAAAAAUCAAUACAUUCUCUGGAGGAGAGCAGUAAAUGAUUUCCUUUUUAGAAUUUCAUCAGUAGCUUUCCCGCUAUACAGGCAAAGUCUAUAAAAAUGAUGCCAAAGAUGAUCCGGUUGAAAAGAAAGUCAACAAUAACACAGAUUGACAGUCUUUCUCAUACUGGAAAUGUUUGCAACAUUUGCCAUUUAUUGUUAGAAGUCCCUUCAAAUAUAACCCAGUGCCCAUGGAGUUUUGACGACCAAAUUGGCUUCUCCUUGAUCUCACCUUGUUUCUCCUUGACUACUGCCAAGUGUCAAGCAGAAAUAAUUAAUACAACAUUUAUCCCAAUAGGUUGUAAUUAUUUGUUUUCAUGCCCUUUUGUGUGAAUCAUUAGACUACUUGGGAAUAAGAGGCAAAGUUGGAUUAAGGAAUAGGUCAACAAGGUAGCUACUUGGGAUCCAUAAUCUACAAGGAAUUGUAAAACAAAGCUGGAGCAAACCAGAAAAAUGGCACCCACUGGAUUAUAUUUGUUCUCCCAGUUCUUACAUAACAAGCAAAACAGAAACUGGCCCAACUACAUUAGAGGGAGAUGACAUACUUGAGUGUAAACCACUCCUCGCCAGCAUCAGUCUGUCUCUGUUGAACACGUUCAUUGCAGGCAUGUGUAAAUUUCAGCGUUCAGAUCUGGCCUCGCCACUAACCCAGUGACCAGCCAAGUGAGCACUGGUUGGCAUCAGCAAAAUCAUCUGCAUUCCCCAAACCAAAGAAUACACAGUUUGGUUCUAUUGACUGAGACUUGUGUCUUUGUUAGAGUAUCUAUAAUGUAAGCUCUUUAAUAUGAUCACCAAGAAGUUGUCCAGCUCACAAAAUUAUAAUUCUAAAACCAUUUCACAAAAGUAAAAAUAUUUCACCUCUGGAACAUUUAAAAAGUCUUUUAUUUUGAGCAUUAAAUGCUAUAAGAAUUUUAUCUAUAGAAAGUACAUUUCUCCCUGCCCUACCGGGUAAAUAAUAAAAUAUAAAAAAUAUUUUUUGAAGAGGCUUCAAGUUAUUGCCUGCAUGAGUCCUUUCCACUUCUCAGUCUAGCCAUAGGCGAGACCAUGUGCAUAGUCCCAAACUUUACUCUUAACAGUGAACACAGUGUCUGGGAUCCAGUAGGUAUCCAAUAGAUGAUUGAUGAAUUAAUUAAACAAUCAAUACUCAGUGUCUGCUCACCCUUCAGUGUUAGAAUAUUCACUAGUUCCUGUGAUUUUAUUGUAGCACAACUCCAAAUGUUAGAAAAGAAUCUUGCAAACAUUAAAUACCUAUGGGUCUUCUUGAAUCUCCCAAUCAUGGACAUAUUCUUGGGAUCUAAAUUUUUAUGGACAGAUAUCAUUAUAGAUAAAGUAUGGAACUCAAUCAUGAGUCCUAACUCCUUGGGAACACAGAGACCCUACCUGAUAACAUUUGAAUUGUGAGCCAUUGACCUUUCUUAUUGCCUGGACCUUGACCUUUGCACACACAUUUUUGGUGGCAAGGGAGAGGAGAUUUGGCAGGUGUUUUCAAGAUGUUCUAUUUGAUAAAGAUGAAGAAUUUCUUAAAAAGUAGCGGAAGGAGAACACGCAAUCAGAACGUCUCUUACUCCAAAUACGGUAGGGAAGAUAAAGAACAUUAGCAGUGAUGGGGUACCUAUUGCAUACCAGCUCCUUUACCCUGUCAUCCCACUAAUUCUGACAACCACUCCUGAGCCAUGUAGUACUGACCUCAUUUUAAAGGUGAGCCAUUAGGACUCAGAGAAAUUGAGAAAUUUAUUAAAGUCAUACAAAGAGAGGAUAGGGUACCCGCCUAUCUGUAUCCGGGUCUACCUGGAACCUUGCCUACCUAGGAUGUUGGCUGGAAUCAACAUAAUUGGGAUCAGUGUAUAUUCUUCAACCUGACAUCCAAUUCACCCACCCACACCUACACCUUGAGAAGGAAAGGAAGAGGUACUUUUAAAAUUAUUUCCAUAACAAGAUCCAAAACCCAGAGGAGUUAGAGGGAAGACCAUAGACAGAUUUCAUGGAGAUUGUCAGAUACCAUGAAUCUCGCCAGGUUCUAAAGGCUAGUAGUGGCUUUCAAUCCCAACAUGUCUAUCAGAUAAGACACACAGUGCCAACAAUCUGUUAUUUAAAGGGGCUCACUGCAGUGGUGAUUCUCAGGAAAAGGGGUUCCCAGGGAUUGGCUUAGUUUUUAAAAAAUCUUUGAUGACUUAGAUAUGCCUCCCUAGAAAGUAUGCCUCUUGAGAGCCUUUGAGAAUCAUUGGAAGGGAAAUAAGAUUGUUUUAUUAUUUUGCUUUGUUUUUUGUUGAUGUUGUUAUUUUUUCCCUAAGAAGCAAGAAAGAUGAGCCAGGUUAAAUCAUAUCCCAGAAACUAUGUGAAUGAUCUACUUUUAAACUCAAUGCCACUCACUGAAUUUCCUAUACACAAUGCUAUAUCCAAUACUACAAUAUCCUAUGCUAUUCAAAGUGAGUGCCAUUGACUAGAAACAUCAGCACUAGCUGGGACCUUCUUAGAAAUACAGAAUCUCAGGCCCCACUCCAUCCUAUUGGUUCAGAACUUGCAUUUUAACAGAUCCAUGGAUGAUUCUUGUACAUUUCAGUUUUGAGAAGCACUAGUACACACUACACCUAAACAUCUUCCCUUUUUUCCCCAUUAGUCUGAGCUAAGCAUCCCUCAUAUGUGUCCCCACAGCAACUCACAAGUCCUUUAUCCUACACUUAUGACACUGUGUUGAAAUUGCUUGCUUGAAGGUCUCCCUUUCUUGCCCAGAUGGAAGCUCUUCAAGACAAGACUGGUGCCUUCCAAGUUCACCACUGGUUGCUGGCACCUAACAGUGCCUGGCACAGAGGAAGUUUUAAAUAAAUAUUUAGGAAUCUCACAGGAUUGUGAGCUUCUCAAGGUCAAGAACCACAUAUUGGUAUUUGUGCAUCUUUAAAACCUAGCAAAGUUCUGGCAUAUAGUAAAUGAUCAAUUUGUGUUGAUCUUCUAAAUAGGUGCCUGAUUCAUACCAGAAAAUGGAAUGGACUGAAAACAUGGCUAUUGUGCCAAAUGUCACUUUUAUCAAGCCUUCUCUGAUGUCCUCCAGUCCUAAAUGAGCACUGAUUCCCCUGUGUCUUUACACCAUACAACAAUAAAUUGCUGUCUACAACAGCAAUAAAGUAAACUGUUGAAUAGUUCUUUUCAGUUUGUAAAGUAACCUUAUCCUCAACAUGUCAUUAAUUCUUAGAUUGACAGCACGAAAUAGUAUCUUGACAGCUAACCUGUGAAGUUCAGCUAAGCCCUUGAUAGUUAGAGUCAGAUUCAAAGACAGUCUGUGAUUUUCCCAAUGUCACAAAGCUGGUAGGUGACAGGGUCAGAACGUGUGCGUAGAUCUUCUGGCCUGGUGUACUUCCCACCCUACCCCCCUUGAUUUUGGCAUCUGACUUUUCAGGAAAGUCACUAAACAUGUGCUGGCACUUGGUUUUAGUUUAUAUUUCCAUUAUAACUAUGUCACUCAGCUAUAUAUGCUAAUUGUGUUUUCAAAGAAAUUUAUCUAAUUUUGUAGUAAGUGCCUUCUUCAUCUGUGCGUGCAUUUAUUCAUUCGUUUACUUACCCAACAACUUUCACUUGACUUCUUUGAACAGUGUUAGCCCAGGAGUGGUCAUUCAAUAUUUGUUUAAUUGAACUGAUUAGCUUCUUUUGAUAAAUAUUGAUGAUUUGGGUCCCUGAGAGCCACUGAUAACACAAUCACAUUGCCAGGUGAAAAUUAUAAAGUGAUCAAACAUUAAAGCCGGCAGCUGCCUUUAGAGAUUCUCUCCUGUAACCCCUACUUCUGCUGGACGAAGAGGCUAAGCAUCAGAGAGAGAGAGUGACAUGCCUGAGUUCACAUUACAAAAUGUUUUAUGUAGCUUUUCCUGUAGGGACCUGAACUAUCUGUCUGAUAUGCUUGCAUUGAUCAGAAGCCAGGUUGUUGCCACAUCCCCACUUAACUUGGGCAUAGAACCAAAUAAUUAAAAAAUACCCCAAAGCCCCCAUAUAGUAUUUACAUGCCUUCUAAAGCUUGCAGCUGACAAUGCGCUCAUACUGCUGAUCCUAAGAGAAAUUCGGAAUGACUGGGAUGGACUGCCACAUAUAAAUAUUCAUGACACAAACUCAUCAAGCCUUGAACAAGAACAUAUGUGAAUAAUUAACAAGAUUGUGAUUUGUAGUAUCAUGGUAAUAGAUAACCUAUCUCCUAAUGAGAGGCUAACUAAAGCUGUUUUUCCUUUUACAAGGCAACAAAAAUUCAAGACAGUAAAUUGUAGUGUCUGUUGUCAAUUUUGUAAUGUAGUUUUGGAAGUUGAAUGCUCAAAAAACAUUUUUUCUUCUAAAGUAGUUAAACACUCAUUAUUGCUAGAUGCAGUAUUUAACAUGGUACAUUCUAAGCUUUUAGAGAAAGUGACACAAAGGUAUAAUGAUGUAGUGUAUUCACUAAUCUCUGUUACUAAUCUUGUUCUUUUCCCUCUUUUCAACGGUAUAUUUAAGAAAAAGAAACACUGAUGAUUUCUGUUGUUUGAUUCAGUAUUGAGACAUCGGGGUGAUUUUCUUUUAGCUCUGUGAUUUCACCUAACACCUUCAUCUCAUUCUCCCAUCUGCAGGCUUGAUCCGUGUCUUCCCCAAGAGGCAGCAAGGAGAAGCAGCCAAGGGAAGCAGGAGAGGCUCAGUAUCCUCUUUUGGAUGCUGCCCCUAAGAACAAACCCCUCCCACGUUUUCUACCUUACGCAGAAGAAAAUCUGAGCAACACAGUCUCAUGUGUUUCCUGUGUAUCCCAUAGGGGUAUGGUCCAGUCUCUCUCUCUCUGGAAAAGGCUACAUUUUUCUCUUAGAUUAAAGUCGCCACUUCGGAAACCCAUUUUAUUUUUGAGGACGAUUAGCCCUGAGCUAACAUCUGCCACAAAUCCUCCUCUUUUUGCAGAGGAAGAUUGGCUCUGAGCUAACAUCUGUGCUCAUCUUUGUCUAUUUAAUAUGUGGGAUGCAUGCCACAGCAUGGCUUUGUAAGGGAUGCGUAGGUCCGCAACCGGGAUAUGAACCAGUGAACCCUGGGCUGCUGAAACAGACUGCUCGAAUUUAACCACUAUGCCACCGGACUGGCCCCUGGAAAACCUUUUGAAAUUCCCUACUUUUAAAACUACACACAUGUCUAGCCUAUGACCUUGUAUUUCCAUUCCAUAGAUAAAUGGGUAUCUUUGUCUACCAAAUGAGAAGAAUAAGAAUUUCAUAGAAGUCUUAUUCAUAAUAGCUAAAAACUAGAACCCAAACAUCUGUCUACAGUAGAAUGGAUAAAUUGCAGAAUAUUAAUAAAGGGGAAUUCCAUGCAACAAUAAAAGAGAAUAUCUGCCAUAAGCAACAGCACAGUUGGACCUCACAGACAUAGUAACGAACGAGUGAAAGAAGCUAGCCACAGAAGAGUACACACACUGUAUGAUUCAAUUAUGUGAAAUUCAGGAACAGGAGAAACUCAACUGCGGUGGCAAAAAGCAGAAUAUUGGUUACCUGAUUUGGGGGGUCAGGCAGGGCCAGUAGGUAAGAACUUAGGAAGGGGCACAAAGGAUCCCUCUGGGGUGUUGAAAAUAUUCCAUAUAUAUGUAAAAAUCCAUUGAUUUCUGCACUUAAGAUUUGUGUAUGGAUCUACACUUCAAUAAACCUUUUUUAUAAAUGAUCAUUGACUCUUUCCUCCCAACAGCUGGAAAUUGCUAGAAUUAUGUAUACGGUGGUGUUUCAGUCUACUGCUCUUUCCCUUAGCAGCCACCCACUUUGGGUUCUCCAUGUUUUUUUCAUAAGGGAGUCCCUCUUAGGAAAGCCGGUAUUUUGACCACAACAAAAUAUUUUGAAGUAAGAAUUGAAACACAAAUUUACAGAAACAUUUUAACAAAAAACCGUUUUCAUUAUACAUGCAAAUUCAGGACAGAUGUGGUCAGAGGAAUAACCCAAGUCCACCCACCACUAGAAGAAAAGUAAAACUUAAUAAGAAUUUUUGAAAUAUUGUAAUGAUUUUCUCCCUGGCUUCUAGUCAAGACUGCAACAGAAAUUCAGAAAUGCCACCAGAAAGGCCUCUCCGGGUACAUGUGACUAGAAUUCUCAGACAGUACUGAGUGGCUGGGGAAACCUCACAGAGCUUUGA
ensembl:lncRNA